AAGACUAUACUUUUAAGGAUCAUUUCUAUAGUCUGCGACUGAGGAAUUAUGUACUUAAUAGUCCGGUCUCAACACCAUGAGGAAUAACUGUGGCGUUUCCUCUUGACUGGGAAGCAACCUGCAGGCUUUGCUCUAUGGAAGGGCUUGCAGGCAUUGAUGACUGUUCCCUUCCCCUACUGCUGGGGUUGUGGAGGGAGGAAAUGCUGUCUGAGUGGU